rnacentral:rRNA from 1 species
UAAUACAGAGGGUGCGAGCGUUGUCCGGAAUCACUGGGCGUAAAGGGCGCGUAGGUGGUUUGUCAAGCGUGAUGUGAAAUCUCCGGGCUUAACUUCGAGUCUGCCAUUGCGAACUGGAAGCUUGAGUCUGGUUAGAGGUCGAUGGAAUUCCCGUGUGUAGCGGUGGAAUGCGUAGAUAUCCGGAAGAACACCGGUGGCGAAGGCGGUCGACUGGGCCGGUACUGACGCUGAGGUGCGCGAAAGCGUGGGGAGCAAACAGGAUUAGAUACCCUGGUAGUCCACGCCGUAAACGAUGGUCAAUAGUCCUUGGGAGNCGACCUUGAGGGCCGCCGCUAACGCAUUAAGUUCACCGCCUGGGGAGUACGCCGCAAGGCU